CCUACGGGUGGCUGCAGUGGGGAAUCUUGCGCAAUGGGCGAAAGCCUGACGCAGCAACGCCGCGUGGGGGAUGAAGGCUCUCGGGUUGUAAACCCCUUUCAGCAGGGACGAAAUCAGACGGUACCUGCAGAAGAAGCUCCGGCUAACUACGUGCCAGCAGCCGCGGUAACACAUAGGGGGCAAGCGUUGUCCGGAUUUAUUGGGCGUAAAGAGCUCGUAGGUGGCUGAGUAAGUCGGAUGUUAAAUCCCCAGGCUCAACCGGGGAAACCACCCGAUACUGCUCUGGCUAGAGUCCGGUAGGGGAGCGUGGAAUUCCUGGUGUAGCGGUGAAAUGCGCAGAUAUCAGGAGGAACACCAGCGGCGAAGGCGGCGCUCUGGGCCGGUACUGACACUGAGGAGCGAAAGCGUGGGUAGCAAACAGGAUUAGAUACCCCAGUAGUC
rnacentral:rRNA from 1 species